UUUCAUUGAAACAGCAGUGCGGACACGUGAAACUAUUACCUGUACGAUGGAAAAAAGCAAGUGGUUGAUGCCAGCACCUAUGAAAAAGAUCGAACCUGCAUCAGUCAAAACAAUGGACCUAUCCUCAGCAAAGGCAAAAAA